GCCCAGCUCUGCAGAGGUGCUGCCUCUAUUGUGGAGGCUGAUCCCGAAGGUAAUAGCAUUUCUUUUCUAUAGAGCCAUGAAGUCAAUGUUUCACAGAGCCCCGGGGACCUGUUCUGCCCUCCCUGCCACCAGCACAUUCCGGUCCCACGCUGGAAUCCAAGGGAAGGAGCUCAUCUCCGUCAGAUCUGGUGGAGUCUGCACCCAGAGAAGGGAGGGGGGGAGCCAGCUAAUUAGUGGAUCAGAGUUUUAAUAAGUUUUGUAAAAGGAUUAGACACAUCUGUGCAUGUGAACAGAAUGUGCAGAGACAGUCUCUAGGCUGGAUUAUCGUGGCUGCCAAUCCCUGUGCUCUGGGGUAAAAGCUGAUCCUUGGCAAGGGUCAGGGAUAAAUGUCCCUGCCUGGCAGAGCAUGUCCAUGAGGAGGAUUCAAAUUCCUCCUGGGAAGCCGUGGCAGAGCUACAAUCCCAGAGGAGCUGCCGGGCAUCACCUCGUUAUCACUUUGUGGUGACAGUGAUAACUCACAGCCAAAACACAAACCACCUCCCAAGGGACGAUCUGCAGCCAUUCCCCAGCAGGUAUCCCAGCUGCAGCCUCGGGAUCUGACACGGGGAUUUGCCUGGAGUAGGGACAGAAUGCUAGCAGGGAGUUUAUUUCCAUUAACAAUUGUAAUUGGGGUGAGGCAAAGGGCAUGAGGGGAGUUCCUGAGGAUAAUCUAUGUGAUUGUAUUGGCAAUUUGGUGACAAACACAAUCAAAUCCUUGGGCACAUCAAGGCAGCAGAGCCUUUUCUCCUGCUUUCUACUCAGCAGCCUCUUCUUUCCCUGCAGGAUUGACCUCCCUCCAUCCCACAAACCUGCCCCUCCACCAAAGAGGAAACAGGACAUGAAAAGCCACCUGACUCCAGAAGACAUCCAGGUUGUUCACUUGGACAACAUGAAACACGAGGAGGAGAUCCAGAAGUUCCCUCUGCAGACUCCCUACUACGACAUGGCAGGCCCUGAGCCCUCUCCCUACAGUGACAAACUGGUAAGGGGCACAGGGUGACAGUGGCACUGCCUGGCACCUCAGCCCAGCCUCACCUGGCACACAGGACCUAAAAAAGCAAGUUUUUUAGUCUUUAUAGUCUGGGAUUAUCCCAUCCUGGAGGAAAGCAGCCUCCACACUCUGAUCUCACCCUAAUUCAGCUGUCUGUUGGCUCCAGAGCUGGGCCUUUAUGGGUAGAAUGCCCUGCCCACCCCAAAUUCUCUACCUGCCGUGCACCUACCCCACCCUGGCCUCUCCUCACCUCCUCCCUGUUGAGCGGAGGGAAGCAGCGGUGAGAGCUUCACAAAGCAAUUAUCUGCAGGGCAGAGCGUGCCAGCGUUUGACUCUCAGUUGACAACAGCAAGUUCUUUAAACCCUUUUUUUUUUGGUUUUUUUUUUUUUUCUGGUGUGUGGAUUUGUGCAGCCUCAGAUGGGGAGA
rnacentral:lncRNA from 1 species